ACAACAUUGAAUCGUCGAUCUGCCGAGCAAUAUGACCCGCUCGGUGGAAGAUCUUCUCUCCAUCGU
rnacentral:pre_miRNA from 1 species